rnacentral:rRNA from 1 species
UGGGGAAUUUUGCGCAAUGGGGGAAACCCUGACGCAGCAACGCCGCGUGAGUGAUGAAGGCUUUCGGGUCGUAAAGCUCUGUCAGAGGGGAAGAAAUGGAGUCGGUUAAUACCCGGCUUUCUUGACGGUACCCUCAAAGGAAGCACCGGCUAACUCCGUGCCAGCAGCCGCGGUAAUACGGAGGGUGCAAGCGUUGUUCGGAUUUAUUGGGCGUAAAGCGCGUGUAGGCGGUUUCUUAAGUCUGAUGUGAAAGCCCUGGGCUCAACCCAGGAAGUGCAUUGGAUACUGGGAGACUUGAAUACGGGAGAGGGUAGUGGAAUUCCUAGUGUAGGAGUGAAAUCCGUAGAUAUUAGGAGGAACACCGGUGGCGAAGGCGGCUACCUGGACCGAUAUUGACGCUGAGACGCGAAAGCGUGGGGAGCAAACA